UGACGACCGGCGCACGGGUGCGUAACGCGUAUACAAUCUACCUUUUACAGGGGCAUAGCCCGGGGAAACCCGGAUUAAUAUCCCAUGGUAUCAUUUAGUGGCAUCACUUGAAUGAUUAAAGCUUCGGCGGUAAAAGAUGAGUAUGCGUUCUAUUAGCUAGAUGGUAAGGUAACGGCUUACCAUGGCUACGAUAGAUAGGGGUCCUGAGAGGGAGAUCCCCCACACUGGUACUGAGACACGGACCAGACUCCUACGGGAGGCAGCAGUGAGGAAUAUUGGACAAUGGGCGAGAGCCUGAUCCAGCCAUGCCGCGUGCAGGAAGACUGCCCUAUGGGUUGUAAACUGCUUUUAUACGGGAAGAAACACUCCUUCGUGAAGGAGCUUGACGGUACCGUACGAAUAAGGAUCGGCUAACUCCGUGCCAGCAGCCGCGGUAAUACGGAGGAUCCAAGCGUUAUCCGGAAUCAUUGGGUUUAAAGGGUCCGUAGGCGGGAUAAUAAGUCAGUGGUGAAAGUCUGCAGCUCAACUGUAGAACUGCCAUUGAAACUGUUGUCCUUGAGUAAUUAUGAAGUGGUUAGAAUAUGUAGUGUAGCGGUGAAAUGCAUAGAUAUUACAUAGAAUACCGAUUGCGAAGGCAGAUCACUAAUAAUUUACUGACGCUGAUGGACGAAAGCGUAGGUAGCGAACAGGAUUAGAUACCCUGGUAGUCUACGCCGUAAACGAUGGUUACUAGCUGUUUGGCUCGAUUGAG
rnacentral:rRNA from 1 species